UUUGAAACUACCAAACAUUUUAAUAGUACACUCUUUCACCACACCACAAAAAAUCAUAGAACCACGAAUCUUAAUGUCAAAGUGGAUGGAAUUACUUUAUCACUACUCAAUCUAAUAUGAUCAUAAUUAUAAUGAUUAUUUUCCUCUCAAAAUUUACUGAAUAUACAGAAUUCAUCUACGAAUACAGCAAAAACUUAAAUACUAUAUAUGAGUUGAAACAAAUAGAAAUAGUUUUUUUUUUAUCAUAAUGAAACUG
rnacentral:lncRNA from 1 species